GGGAAACCACAUACAGAUUCUGUAUCUGGCUUUGAGCAAGUGGUUCAACAUUUGGAAGCCUCGGUUUCCUUAGGUGUAAAAUGGGAUAAUGAUGAAUCUCCAUUCAUAGCUUGUGGGGGGGAGUGUUAAGUGAAAAAUGCACAUCAGAUGCUUAGCCUGGGGCUGGCUUCACAGCUCACACACUAUAAAUGGCAUCUGUCAUGGCUGCGGCCCUUGUUCCUGUUCUUUCGAUCUUUACAGCCUUCAGGGUGUGUGUCCGGCCUCCUGACUCCUCUUGACACCUGCCUCAGCAGGAACCCGCUGCUGAUUCCUGAUUCCGGGACACCCAGCCCGGGCGGGACACCCCUCCUCCCUGCUCUGUCCUCUCCUUCCUCUUCCCUCAUCUCGUUCCUCUUGUUCCUUUCCCUUCUUCCUCCUCCACUUAGCGAACUGGGAUUGUUUCCAGUCAUGGCUGCGGGCUGGAUGAGAAGCAAUACCCAGGCUUUGCGUUCUGGGUGGAGGCGGUGAGACACGCCGUGUUCUGUAUUCACAAGAGGGAAGGAAGGUAGGCUAGUGGUUGGAGUGGAGCCUCGUUGCCUGGGCUCAUGGUCCAGCCCUGUCCUUCCCUCUGCAUCUCUGUGCCUCCGUUUCUCUGAUCUGUAAAAUGGAGAUAGUGAUGGCUUGGGGUGAGGGUCCACUGUGUCCGUGUGUCAGCACCUGACACGGCGAGUGCCCCACGAUGGGACAUUAUCACCCCCCCACCCACAUAAGGACCGAGGGCGUGUAAGGGGCACCCAGUGAGAAUAAAAGCUCUCAGGCUGCUCUGAGCCGAUGGGUUUGGGGGCCCCUGGGAUGCCGCAGCCUCGUGGGAGUGGGGCGCUGGUGUGUGGGGGGGAACCCCUGGGAGAUGUGUUUAGAGGGGAAGGUGGCCGCGCACCCUUCCGCCUCCCUUCUCCCUUCCCUGUGGGUGGCCCUGAUGGCUGAGUCUCCCACAGCAGAGGCUCACCAGGCUCCGUCUUGCUCCGGCCGGCCCCGGAGCAGUGGAGCAGGGCUGCCUGCCUUUGAACUUGCACUCACCUGUCGGCUUUAAUUAGAUGAUACCUGGUUUCCCUUAUCUUCCUGAGAGAGGAUGUCUCCGUUCAGGUGAUGGGCUAUUGACGCCAGUGGGGGAUUAGAAUUCCUCCUCCCGUUUCCCCUCAGGCCCUGUUCCAGGGUGUCUGCGAUAGAAAAAGCACCUAUUUGUGCAAAUGAUGGGUGAGUGGCUGGGCGAGUCCGGGAGACGGAUGCCUCCCGUGCUUUUUCAAGUGUGCCUGGUCAUGUGGCGUCUGAUUGGAUGCUCACAGCUGUGCUGUGAAUUCCCGGGCACGUGGCCCCAUGUCACAGAUGGGGUAACCGAGGCUCCCAGAGCGGCAGUGUCUGGCUCAGGGUCAGGCAGCCCCGCAAACGGUGAGCGGGGAGCCCAACCGGGUUGGGAUCCAGUUCCCUGCCCUCUCAUGCCAGAGUCCACCUCGACCUGGUUGUCUGUGAAGCUUCCCUGUCGGUUCAGUUCAUUCAACAAACGUGGCCUGAAACUGGAGCACACACACCACCCAGCACACAAACCACACUACCCAGUACACACACCACCCAGCACACACACCACAGCACCCAGCACACCACCCCACCACUCAGCACACACAGCACCCAGCACACACACCACCCAGCACCCCACCCCACCACCCAGCACACCACCCCACAGUGUCACUUUCCCUCCUGCCACCCCUCAGUCCCCUUCCCCUUGGCAGGGAGUUGCCGAAAUGCCCCAAGCAGGGGCCUGUGAGGUCUCUGACCUCUCUGUGACCUUGUGUCCUGGAGCGGGAAAAACUUCUGUUUGGUGUCUCGUGUGAUUUUUCGAUUCUCCUUAAGUCAUAGGCCACAGAAAUCCAAACCCCGAGGCCCUUCUUUGCUUUCCUAACCCCCUUGAAGUGGGGGGGUCCGUCAGUGAGCAGCUGAUGGGUGAAACAGUAACAUUUCGGAAACGGCCUCUCAAUCUUUUGGGCCGAUGUGGUCUCCCCGUUGUUUUCCAUUGUCGAGAAUUUCUGCCUUUUGCCUGAUGACACGUGUGCUGCUGGGACCUCUGUGUGCGUGAGAUUCUCUUCCCCCCCCCCACCCCCCGCCCCGGGUAGGGGAAGCACACGGUCCUUCCAGGGCCCUUUGGACCUGGAAGUGUGGUUUUUAAGGGGCUUGGGAUGGAGGCAGAGAAGGAAGGCGUGAACCAGGCCUGACCUCAGGUCCCGGUCUGGUAAUGGUUAACUCGGUCUGGAGUCCGGGGCGUCCGGUUCUCCAGGGCAUUCGCUUAGAAACGCUCCUGCCGGUUACGUCACCCUGUGGUGUUGCCUGGCUGGCUCCCGAGUUGGAAUCGGGUGUUGGCGAAAGGGCAGGGCACGUGGGGCCCGGCCAGGUGAGCGGGGCUCCCAUGCAGCUCAGCCUGGGCCGUGUUUGCCCAGGGCCGGUGGUGCUCAAGGCUUCUGACCGGUUCAUCGCCGUGGGGACUUGCCCCGUCGGGGGUAGCUGUCUUCCUACCAUGAGGACUUCAGAUCCUUUUGACUCCAAGUUUCUUUCUCUGGCCUCUGCACGUGGCAGAAUUUGGGGAGAAAUAUGUUCAUUGCUUUUCCUGCUUGCCAGCCCUUCAGGAACACCCCACAGAGCUGGAGUUCCCGUGGUGGCUUAGCAAGUUAAGAACCUGUCUAAUAUCCAUGAGGAUGUGGGUUCGAUGCCAGGCCUUGCUCAGCGAGGGUUAAGGAUCUGGUGUUGCCACCAGCUCACCAGCUGUAGCGUAGGUCGAGGAUAUGGCUUGGCUCUUGUGUUGCUGUGGCUGUGGCGUAGGCUGGCAGCUGCAGCUCUGAUUCCACCCCUAGCCCAGGAAUUCCUGUAUGGUUUUUGGGGGUUUUUUGUUUGUUUGUUUGUUUUUGUCUUUUUUGCCAUUUCUUGGGCCGCUCCUGCAGCAUAUGGAGGUUCCCAGGCUAGGGGUUGAAUCAGAGCUAUAGCUGCCGGUCUACACCACAGCCACAGCAACGCGGGAUCCGAGCCUUGUCUGCGACCUACGCCACAGCUCACGGCAACGCCGGAUCCUUAACCCACUGAGCAAGGGCAGGGAUCGAACCCGCAACCUCAUGGUUCCUAGUCGGAUUCGUUAACCACUGAGCCACGACAGGAAUUCCCGAAUUCCCACAUGUUGCAGGUGUGGUCCUGAGAAGACAAACAAAACAAAAAACCCAAAUCACAGAGCUAAUUUGUUUAGAUGAGGGGGGCGGAGAAGAGGCUAGAACUAGAUCAAGACCCCUCAACCCGUCACUCAUCCUGCCUCACAGACUGAGCGCUGAAGGAACCUCUCAUCUCAAUGCCUUUCUUAGUUCUGGGCUUACCCAGUUGAGGGGUGGUGGGGUGUGGAGUUUUGAGGGUGGGUCCCUUGGGGAGAAGGUUCUGGAGUGACCAGGAAGGAAGGUCUUAUUUCAGCCGAAGCCCCCUCCCUGGCUCUGGCUCUGCGACAGAGUUGGAGCAGGGGGGCUGCUGGGGAGAGUGGAAGCCGUUUCUUCUGCCACCAUGUGGGCCCUCGCUGGUGUCCGUGGUGCGCCACUGGGCCGAUUUCAUGCGUCGCUUGUCCCCUGGUGCACUGCUGGCCCAAUCGGACGCUCCCCCCCAUGGGAUUCGGCCAUGGAUGCUUCCCUGCUCCCCCUCCGUCUCAGGUUUUCUGCAGACCCAUCCCAAGUCCUGUUCUCACUCUCAUCCCCUCAGCAGACAUCCCUGCCCCACAGCCUCGAGGACAAAGCCCUGCCAGCCUCAUCCACGGGCUUGCUCCCCCCUGCGCUGUGUCUGUCCCCCGUGUCUCCUGGCUUGUGUGUGCGGCUUGUGUGUGCGCCUGUGUUUCUAGACGAAUGGAGAAAACCCACUGCUCUUCUGUGCGGCUAAAUCUGCUUUCCCCAAACCCUCCUCUGUCUCAAAGUUCACUUUUCCCUCCCACCCCCUCUGAGCCGGGGGGUGUGGGGCUUGUCCAGUCCCCCUUGUUCCGUUAUAGAAGGGUGUCUUUAUUCAAUUUGACUGUGGCUAUUAUGUGGCGAAACAUUCAAUAAAAGUCGUGAUUUAUGAGAUGUGUGCGGUGGCUCGGUUCUUCGUUUUCUUCUUGUUCUGCUGCUGCUUUUUUCUUUUUGUCCCCCCUGCUUUGUCAUCUAUCAGGAAGAGAAAAGCCAGGCCUGAUAAUUUCUUGGCACAUCCUGUGUUCACUUAAGAAUGUCAGCUGUCGGGCCCGUCAGGAAGUUGUUUCUCGGAGGAGGGGUGUCUCCCUCCUUUUCACCUCUCCUGCGGUCCCCCCUCUUUAAGCACAGGCAGAGGCCCUGCUCCGUCCUGCAGGCUGGCGAUAAGGGGGAGGCGGGGCGCUGCGGGGAGAGGAGUGGGGACCCCCGAUGUGGCCCUAGCAGUUGGGGGGGGGGCUUCGCCCUCCUCCGCCGCCGCGUGUCCGGAGCUCUGUCAGCUCUUGAUUGCUUAAUAGGAAGCACCAGGCAGGGUCCUUUCAGGAGGUUUCCAGAAUUUUCUUUGUUCUUGAAUACAGCCCCCCGCCCCCCCAAAUCCUCUUAAUUUUUUUGGCCUGGCCACUUUAGAAAUCCUUCCCCUUUUCUUUUUUUGUAGAGUAUGUGCCUGCUUGAUAAAAGGCUCUUGAAUAGAGGGCCUCGCAUAGUGGGUCUUGGCGGCUGGAAAAUAGGCUAAUUGGAGAUCGAAGCAACUUGUCACAAAGGUGCCCGUGGCGGGGGGUGGGGAGGAGGAGGGUCCCCGGGAGAUGCCAGGUUGACUUCUCCACCUCUCCCCUCCUCCUGCUUGUGUUAUUAGCUGUUUGCCGAAAUGCAUCCGAGGCUGUGCGGAGCCCUGCAGGAGCGUUACCCCAGUUGUGCCCUGCAUCUUAAGCGCCUGGUUAAGGCCUCCAUUCUGUGCCUGGAAUGGUUCCAUGCUGAGCCCCCAGAGAAUGCAGAAAUCCAUCUUUAACCCGCAGUGGGUGGCCUGGGAGGGGCCGAGGAAAGCUGGCCUGCUUGGACCCCAUGGUGUCGCAGUGACAGCUUCUGGGGGGGCGAGCCACCCAGACUGGUGUGUGGGUCACCGGUGCCAGCAGGUAGAAGGAAGCUCGCAGACCCACACCAUCCGGGCCUCCUAAUGGGGAGAGGGGAGUGGGAGCCAGCAGGAUGGCCGAGGCGGGAGCUAGGCAACGUGAAGGCUUUUAGACUUGCGGGCAGGGGGUGUGGGGAAUGUGGCAGCCUAAGAGGUUCAUCUGUGAGCCCCCCAGCCCCUGACUCUGAGCAUGGGUGGGGUUUUCUUUCCAGUUGCUUACAAUCCCGGGGAAGGGGGGGCGGUGUUCUGCUUUUGGGAGCUCCCUGGAUCCUUUAAAUUUGAGUGUUGCGUCCCUCCAAGGGUAAUUAGUGGCCUCAUAGCUGCUCCUGCCACGUGUCCCUUCCCUCGUUUCUAUUUCUGCUGCCGUCAUCCAUCAAGACCUCUCAUUCUAGUUCCAUGUGGCGUCUCUCGGAUCGCGCCUCUGCUCCCAGACUUCCACGCACCCUGCUGCCCAAGGGGUCUAGACCCAUCUUCUAGGAUCCCAGAGCUGGAAGUCCAGUCUCCUCAACCUUCCUGCCUCAAGUCUCCCAGGGCACCGGGCACCUCUGCUUUAAGGCGUAUGCCCUUGAGCCCCUCUGCGUGUGGGCCCGCCCUCUCCAGGCUUCUAGAGUGACCUCCCUUUCUCUUGCCUGGAAAAUGUUUAGGCAGGAGUUCCCACUGUGGUGCAGUGGGAUCAGCGGUGUCUUGGGAGGGCUGGGAUGCAGCUUCGAUCCCCAGCUGGAUGCAGUGGGUUCAGGAGCCAGCGUUGCUGUAGCUGUGACUUGGAUUGCAACUGCAGCUUGGAUCUGAUCCCUGGCCUGGGAACUCGGUAUGCCUCGGGGAGGCCAAAAAAAAAAAAAAAAAAAAA
rnacentral:lncRNA from 1 species